rnacentral:rRNA from 1 species
UCUGACGACCAUAGCGAGUCGGAACCACCCCUUCCCAUCCCGAACAGGACCGUGAAACGACUCCGCGCCAAUGAUAUUGCGCACUACGCGUGAGAAAGGAGGUCAUCGUCAGAC